rnacentral:rRNA from 1 species
UACGUAGGGGGCUAGCGUUGUCCGGAAUCAUUGGGCGUAAAGCGCGUGUAGGCGGUCCGGUAAGUCCGCUGUGAAAGCCAGGGGCUCAACCCUUGGAUGCCGGUGGAUACUGUCGGGCUUGAGUACGGAAGAGGCGAGUGGAAUUCCUGGUGUAGAGGGUGAAAUUCGUAGAUAUCGGGGAGGAACACCAGUGGCGAAGGCGGCGAUCUGGGAAGCGUACUGACGCUGAGGUGCGAAAGC